rnacentral:rRNA from 1 species
AGAGUUUGAUCCUGGCUCAGAACGAACGCUGGCGGCAGGCCUAACACAUGCAAGUCGAACGCUCCGCAAGGGGAGUGGCAGACGGGUGAGUAACACGUGGGAAUCUUCCUAUUGGUAUGGAAUAGCUCAGGGAAACUUGGGGUAAUACCGUAUAAGCCCGAGAGGGGAAAGAUUUAUCGCCAAUAGAUGAGCCCGCGUCUGAUUAGCUAGUUGGUGAGGUAAUGGCUCACCAAGGCGACGAUCAGUAGCUGGUCUGAGAGGAUGAUCAGCCACACUGGGACUGAGACACGGCCCAGACUCCUACGGGAGGCAGCAGUGGGGAAUAUUGGACAAUGGGCGCAAGCCUGAUCCAGCCAUGCCGCGUGAGUGACGAAGGUCUUCGGAUUGUAAAGCUCUUUUGGCGGGGACGAUAAUGACGGUACCCGCAGAAUAAGCCCCGGCUAACUUCGUGCCAGCAGCCGCGGUAAUACGAAGGGGGCUAGCGUUGUUCGGAAUCACUGGGCGUAAAGCGCACGUAGGCGGAUUUGUUAGUCAGGGGUGAAAUCCCGGGGCUCAACCUCGGAACUGCCUCUGAUACUGCAGAUCUCGAGUCCGAUAGAGGUGAGUGGAAUUCCUAGUGUAGAGGUGAAAUUCGUAGAUAUUAGGAAGAACACCAGUGGCGAAGGCGGGUCUCUGGGCAGUAACUGACGCUGAGGAGCGAAAGCGUGGGGAGCGAACAGGAUUAGAUACCCUGGUAGUCC